rnacentral:rRNA from 1 species
AGCGGCAAUAGCUCAAUUUGAAAUCUGGCACCUUCGGUGUCCGAGUUGUAAUUUGAAGAAGGUAUCUUUGGUUUUGGCUCUUGUCUAUGUUCCUUGGAACAGGACGUCACAGAGGGUGAGAAUCCCGUGCGAUGAGAUGCCCAAUUCCAUGUAAAGUUCCUUCGACGAGUCGAGUUGUUUGGGAAUGCAGCUCUAAGUGGGUGGUAAAUUCCAUCUAAAGCUAAAUAUUGGCGAGAGACCGAUAGCGAACAAGUACUGUGAAGGAAAGAUGAAAAGAACUUUGAAAAGAGAGUGAAAAAGUACGUGAAAUUGUUGAAAGGGAAGGGCUUGAGAUUAGACUUGGAAUUUUCCAUUUAUGGAGCUUUCCGGGCCAGCAUCAGUUUGGAUGGCAGGAUAAUUGCGUUGGAAAGUAGCACCACUUCGGUGGUGUGUUAUAGACUUCGUCGAUACUGCCUAUCUAGACUGAGGACCGCGUCUUUGACUAGGAUGCUGGCGUAAUGAUCUUAAGCCGCCCGUCUUGAAACACGGACC